rnacentral:lncRNA from 1 species
UUUAGCCAUUCCGGAUUGGUCUCCGGUGAGGGACCAGACCAAUAACAGCAUUGGUCCUACAUGUUUCACGUUAGCAUGGUGCUAUAGUUCUCUGUGCUUCCCAGCAAACAGUAAAGUCUGAGACUCAGCAGAUGAAAGGCAUUGUGGGACAGUCUUUAUCGUUUCCAGAGAGAGUGUUUAAAACUGGAUAUUUAAGGUAUGGAGAAGACACUACUGCAAGUGUGAUCAAUGGACAAAGCCAUGUAGAUUUAGAAGAGAGAUUUAAAAAUCGCGUUCACUGGGACAAA